rnacentral:rRNA from 1 species
GACGAACGCUGGCGGCGUGCUUAACACAUGCAAGUCGAACGGAAAGGCCCUGCUUUUGUGGGGUGCUCGAGUGGCGAACGGGUGAGUAACACGUGAGUAACCUGCCCUUGACUUUGGGAUAACUUCAGGAAACUGGGGCUAAUACCGGAUAGGAGCUCCUGCUGCAUGGUGGGGGUUGGAAAGUUUCGGCGGUUGGGGAUGGACUCGCGGCUUAUCAGCUUGUUGGUGGGGUAGUGGCUUACCAAGGCUUUGACGGGUAGCCGGCCUGAGAGGGUGACCGGCCACAUUGGGACGGAGAUACGGCCCAGACUCCUACGGGAGGCAGCAGUGGGGAAUAUUGCACAAUGGGCGGAAGCCUGAUGCAGCAACGCCGCGUGCGGGAUGACGGCCUUCGGGUUGGAAACCGCUUUCGCCUGUGACGAAGCGUGAGUGACGGUAAUGGGGAAAGAAGCACCGGCUAACUACGU